rnacentral:rRNA from 1 species
GCUUGUCUCAAAGAUUAAGCCAUGCAUGUCUAAGUAUAAACAACUUUAUACUGUGAAACUGCAGAUGGCUCAUUAAAUCAGUUAUAAUCUAUUUGAUGAUUACUUACUACAUGGAUAACCGUGGUAAUUCUAGAGCUAAUACAUGCGCAAAGUCCCAACUUUCGGGGAGGGAUGUAUUUAUUAGACGAAAAACCAAUGCGGGUUCUGCCCGGUUUUGUGUUGAAUCAUAGUAACUUUUCGAAUCGCAUGGCUUCACGCCGGCGAUAGUUCAUUCAAAUUUCUGCCCUAUCAGCUUUCGACGGUAGUGUAGUGGACUACCGUGGCGUUAACGGGUAACGGAGAAUUAGGGUUCGAUUCCGGAGAGGGAGCCUGAGAAACGGCUACCACAUCUAAGGAAGGCAGCAGG